UGUAGCUGUUUCGUGGUGAAAGUCCUUUAUGGGGGCCAAAUUUCCCCACAAGAAAUUGAGCGCAUGGUUGCUUUUGCAUUCCAAAAGAACGAAUAUUAGAAAACAUUGAAAAAAAGUCUGAGAUAAUACAAUUAUAUUCUACUAGAAAUAAACUCGAUAGUGUGCGCUAAUUAGAUAAUGUGAUAAUCAUGUUUAAAAACUCUUUUCAAGUCUUAUUUUUCAGAAAAUAAUUUGUGGAUCAGAUUGCUCUGAGCGCUUCUGUUGUUUACCAAGAAAAUGCACCCCUGUUGGUUAUUAUUUCUGUAUCGCAAAGCGACUAUUAAUUACAAGCACAGCAUCAUCAACGGUGAUUGCAAGAACUACUGCAAUCCCUGCGGUUUUUCCUCUUGGUAAAUGCACAUAGAGGUUGUAAAGUUUUUGGAAUCGAUGAACUUACUCGAAGAAGACGAUGGUCGAAAACAUAUGAUGAAACAUCUUCUGGCGUGCCUUUGACAAUCGUUAAGUUAGACGGAGGCUUCACAUACGAUAUUUCACACAUGGAUGGAAUUCGUUAGCGGACAGAGCACACAUUUACAAAAUAUUUAUCGUUCUGCAGAACAUGCAUGCAUAUUCGACUCCGAUUUUAUGGGUCGAUUACGGAGGACAACCGAACUUCAGUGGGUUGGCCAGUGGCUGAAAUGGUAUUACCGAUGGCAACUAGCAACUGAAAGCUGAUGUUGGAGAAUCGGGGCAGCACAGCCCUAUACCUACCCUAUGCUCUUACGUGCAUAUGCUAAAUUUCUCGUACCUAGCUAAAGUGCUUGACAAAGGCAGAAGGCUUAUCUUCAACAUUAUAACUUAAAGUAAAAGAGUUAAAGAUAUGCAAUAAAAGAAUACAACAGAACCAAAAAAUCUCAAAACUAUUAA
rnacentral:lncRNA from 1 species